rnacentral:tRNA from 1 species
GUAUGGAUGGUGUAAGGGCAGCACACAUGGUUGUGAUUCAUGGAGUAAGGGUUCGAAUCCCUUUCUAUACCCCA